rnacentral:misc_RNA from 1 species
CUCAACUGAAAAUUUGAGUCACUUUGAUUAGUAACAGCCUUGAUAUGCCCUACAAGAAUUGAAUGCCGAUGAAAGACAAACCCUACACAUGCGAAGAUGAUCUUGCAGAGGCCAAUUACUUAACUAAAAUGGAAAAAUCCAUUCACAUUCUUUGAUGAGAAGUAGCUAAACUUGACUGCACCCUGACUGUCCCCAACCUCUCCCAAGUCCUACCCAAAAAAAUUUAGACUAACGAAAAGGAGAAAGCAAGAUGAAAACAACAAAUUGCAAGAAAUAUCAAAACUGGUAGAUUAUUCACUACCCAUAGCCAUCAAAAACUCGCCCUCACAAACUACGUCCUGUCCGACAUAAGCCUUUCCUUCCAUCUUAGCUAUUCCAAAGCGUUUCUGCAGCUUGAGAAGCGUCAUUCUCAUAACUAAUGUGUCACCUGCAAUUACUGGCUUCCUAAAUCUUACUUUGUCAAUUCCAGCAAAGAAGAAAUUGUCACGAGAUNNNNNNNNNNNGGUUGCAGCAUGACCAAGCCACCAACUUGCGCCAUUGCCUCAACCAUGAGAACACCAGGCAUAAUUGGUCUCUCUGGAAAAUGUCCAGGAAAGAAAUUGUCAUU